rnacentral:misc_RNA from 1 species
AACUUUUGGCAAUGGAUCACUUGGCUCUCGCAUCGAUGAAGAACGCAGCGAAAUGCGAUAAGUAAUGUGAAUUGCAAAAUUCAGUGAAUCAUCGAAUCUUUGAACGCAUCUUGCGCUCCUUGGUAUUCCGAGGAGCAUGCCUGUUUGAGUGUCAUUCAACUCCUCAACCACAUUCCUUUAUUGAUUGUGGCUUGGAUGGUGGGGGUUUGUUUGCAGGCUUCUUCUGUGAAAACAGAAAGGGUCGGCUCCCCUGAAAUGUAUCAGUGGUAUCUGAGGCUAUUGCUAUAGGUGUGAUAAUUAUCUAUGCCCUUGGUAUGCCGCAUGGAACUGCUUCCAACAGAGAUGAUCUUUUUGAUGAAUUUGACCUCAAAUCAGGUAGGACUACCCGCUGAACUUAAGCAUAUCAAUAAGCGGAGGCU